UGCGGGUCACGUUGGACUCAGAUCAGGUGGGCUACCUAGCAGGCAGUAAUGGUCAGCCACUGCUCCCCCAAUACCUGAGUGAUCUAGACAGCGCCCUCAUCCCAGUGAUCCACAGCGGGGCCUGCCAGCUAAGUGAAGGGCCUGUGGUGAUGGAGCUCAUCUUCUACAUCCUGGAGAUCAUCUCCUAAAGUGAGGGAAUCCGUCCAGUCUCAGACUCAUGCCUCCCACCAGCUUGAGUCCCUCUUCGCUCUCUUUCUCUCAUCUGCACUUCAAAGAGCCUGAAAGCUGUGCAGGAACAAGUCCUCCAUACCACCUAUGCACCAUCUCUACUGGGACGCCCUCUGAAUGUGGUGCUCUCUUUCGUUUCUCCUCACCUCUCAACUCCACUGUGGAAACCAUAGGCCCUGUUGAGUCAAAAGGGGUGGCGACCCUGAAUUCGAUCUCUUCAGAACCGUUGUAGCAACACUAAGCUCCUCAAACACAAGAGGGCGCUCUACACACUCAGUCCUAAUGGAGACGAGUGACAGAAGGGAAGGUGUGCACCAUGAAAUGGUUUCUGGUACACAGUGCCUUGGCCUCAUUUAGAAACGAAGAACGAGCUUCAGUCUCGCCUCUAAGCUUUAUGAAUCACCAGAUGCUUUAUUUCAUGAAUAUGGACCUCGUUUUGUUUUAAACUGCUCUAAAGCUAAAAUGAUGUAGCUUCCUCAGAGACGUGCUGCUUGGCAUGGUAGAGGAAAUAUUGUGGAACAGUAUUAGGAAUGUUGACGAUUGAGUUACUGUAGCAAAUGUCAAGAACGGACCUCUGUUAUAGACUUUAUUAUUAUUACAAGACAAUAAGAUCCAACAAUAAUUUCAAGCGGCCUUCGGGAAUUCAACUACAACUUCAAGAUCCACAUAAUGAUAUGGUUGGUUUCAUCAGAUGGCCUACACUUGAUGAAUGAGGACAGCAGCUGAUAUGAAGAUCCACAGCAAGUGAACCUCACAGCCCUUUAUUAACAGGUCAACAGUUGAGACAUAAAGCAUGUGUUUCUGGCUUUUGGUGAAGAGCACAGACAGCUUUGGAAGCACUGUUCAUGAAAAAUGGAAGCUGCAUUGUCUUCCCACUAACACAGCUCAAAACAGCCUUUAGUUACUCCCUGUAUCCACCUUUGUCAUUGGUUUUCUAGAUGUGCAUUAAUGUAUAUCUCGACAUUUCUAUAUUUUGUUAACCAUAGCAUUUUUCCAUGUAAUUGUUUGUUUUUUUUUGGCCGGCCCAAAUCGUGAUACAGCAUGCAUGCUGAAACCAAUGAGAACGUGUAGUUCUCAGAAAAUCUUUGCAUUUCAGAGGACGAGCUGCUUGAAAGAACAGUUUUACAUACUAUUGAUUUGAUCUGUGAUGAAACACUGUUAAAACCUGACAUGGGUGGAAUGGGAAUACAUUUGCAAUGUAUGAAAAGCCAAAAAGAAAAGGGAAAAAUGCAACCUUUCUUUAUUGUACACUACAAAUGUCAAUAAAAGCAGUCUUUAUCAAACCUG